GAACGGGCCUAUAGCCUAGUGGUUACAAAGGCCUUAGUAGCACUUGAGGUCCUCGGCUCGACUCCUCGUUGGAGCGAAUUUUCCAAGAUUCUAGCGGCUUUGUGCUUUCAGUGGAACUGAAACAAACAUUAAUCUUAAUCAUGAGAUAUAUCAACAUAUGUCGUGGGGUCAGAUCAAUCAGAGGAUAUACCUUUGGUGUGUCGGUCAGAUAGGAUGGAAAGGUAAAAAUACUUGUACAUGCUAUUUAAUUCUUCAUUCAUCUUUUGGAUGUAUGGACUUGAUUCCUUUACUUCUACGGUCUAGGGUUUAAUCUACAGUGAUCUUUAACGUCAUGUACAUGGACUUUCCAGAUAAAAGUGAGCUUUAGAUUAAUAUACAAUGGUCUUUAAUGUUAUAUACAUGGGCUUUUCAGGUAAAAAUAGG
rnacentral:lncRNA from 1 species